AACGCACAUUGCACCCUUUGGUAUUCCGAGGGGUAUGCCUGUUCGAGCGUCAUUUCAACCUCAAGCCCUAGGCUUGGUUAUGGGUCAUCGCUAUCUAGGCAUGCCUGAAAAUUAGAGGCUGUAUCGCCUGAAGCUGAAGCGUAGUGAAACAAAAACCCGCCUAAGCUUCUGGUUAUGGUGCAUGCCAAAGAUUUAUCAUUCAAGAAGUUUGACCUCGGACCAGGUAGGGAUACCCGCUGAACUUAA
rnacentral:misc_RNA from 1 species